UGCAAGUCGAACGGUGAACCCCUUCGGGGGGGAUCAGUGGCGAACGGGUGAGUAACACGUGAGCAACCUGCCCCUGGCUCUGGGAUAACUCCGGGAAACCGGAGCUAAUACCGGAUAUGACCUGUCACCGCAUGGUGCGCGGGUGGAAAGUUUUUCGGCUGGGGAUGGGCUCGCGGCCUAUCAGCUUGUUGGUGGGGUAAUGGCCUACCAAGGCGACGACGGGUAGCCGGCCUGAGAGGGCGACCGGCCACACUGGGACUGAGACACGGCCCAGACUCCUACGGGAGGCAGCAGUGGGGAAUAUUGCGCAAUGGGCGAAAGCCUGACGCAGCGACGCCGCGUGAGGGAUGACGGCCUUCGGGUUGUAAACCUCUUUCAGCAGGGAAGAAGCGAAAGUGACGGUACCUGCAGAAGAAGCACCGGCUAACUACGUGCCAGCAGCCGCGGUAAUACGUAGGGUGCAAGCGUUGUCCGGAAUUAUUGGGCGUAAAGAGCUCGUAGGCGGUUUGUCGCGUCUGCUGUGAAAACUCAGGGCUUAACCCUGAGCUUGCAGUGGGUACGGGCAGACUAGAGUGCGGUAGGGGAGACUGGAAUUCCUGGUGUAGCGGUGAAAUGCGCAGAUAUCAGGAGGAACACCGGUGGCGAAGGCGGGUCUCUGGGCCGUAACUGACGCUGAGGAGCGAAAGCAUGGGGAGCGAACAGGAUUAGAUACCCUGGUAGUCCAUGCCGUAAACGUUGGGCGCUAGGUGUGGGGCUCAUUCCACGAGUUCUGUGCCGCAGCUAACGCAUUAAGCGCCCCGCCUGGGGAGUACGGCCGCAAGGCUAAAACUCAAAGGAAUUGACGGGGGCCCGCACAAGCGGCGGAGCAUGCGGAUUAAUUCGAUGCAACGCGAAGAACCUUACCAAGGCUUGACAUGCGCAGUGGACCGGCAGAGAUGUCGGGUCAUUUAGUUGGCUGCGUGCAGGUGGUGCAUGGUUGUCGUCAGCUCGUGUCGUGAGAUGUUGGGUUAAGUCCCGCAACGAGCGCAACCCUCGUUCUAUGUUGCCAGCGCGUUAUGGCGGGGACUCAUAGGAGACUGCCGGGGUCAACUCGGAGGAAGGUGGGGAUGACGUCAAAUCAUCAUGCCCCUUAUGUCUUGGGCUUCACGCAUGCUACAAUGGACGGUACAAAGGGCUGCGAGACCGUGAGGUGGAGCGAAUCCCAAAAAGCCGUCCUCAGUUCGGAUCGGGGUCUGCAACUCGACCCCGUGAAGUCGGAGUCGCUAGUAAUCGCAGAUCAGCAACGCUGCGGUGAAUACGUUCCCGGGCCUUGUACACACCGCCCGUCACGUCACGAAAGUCGGUAACACCCGAAGCCGGUGGCCCAACCCCUUGUGGGAGGGAGC
rnacentral:rRNA from 1 species